CAGUCGCCGCGGGAAUACGAAGGGUGCAAGCGUUACUCGGAAUUACUGGGCGUAAAGCGUGUGUAGGUGGUUGUUUAAGUCUGUCGUGAAAGCCCUGGGCUCAACCUGGGAAUUGCGAUGGAUACUGGGCGACUAGAGUGCGGUAGAGGAUAGUGGAAUUUCCGGUGUAGCAGUGAAAUGCGUAGAGAUCGGAAGGAACAUCUGUGGCGAAGGCGACUAUCUGGGCCAACACUGACACUGAGGCACGAAAGCGUGGGGAGCGAACAGGAUUAGAUACCCCUGUAGUCCCUGUCUCUUAUCC
rnacentral:rRNA from 1 species